GCGCACCAGUCGCGAAUAGUCCACAAUGGACGAAAGUCUGAUAGUGCGACGCCGUGUGUGCGAUUAAUUCCUUCGGGAUGUAAAGCACUUUUCUAUGAGAUAAAAGCUCUUUAGGUUAAUAGCUUAUUGAGACGGAUAUUAUUAUAGGAAUAAGCUCCGGCUAACUCCGUGCCAGCAGCCGCGGUAUUACGGAAGGAGCGAGCGUUGUCCGGAUUUACUAGGCGUAAAGGGCUAGUAGGCGACUAAUUAAGUUAUAUGUUAAAUCCCACGGCUCAACUGUGGUCCUGCAUGUAAUACUGGUUAGAUAGAGUACUGUAGAGGAAGGCAGAAUUCCUGGAGUAGCGGUGGAAUGCGCAGAUAUCAGAAGAAUACCAAAAGCGAAGGCAGCCUUCUGGGCAGUUACUGACGCUGAAUAGCGAAGGUGUGGGUAGCGAACAGGA
rnacentral:rRNA from 1 species